AUGCAGAUGGUGUCCUGCAGUCGCACUACCAUGAACAUCAAUGGGGAGAUUGGCCCUUACUUCCACACCCUAUGUGGGGUUCGACAAGGCGAUCCCUUCUCCCCAUCCCUGUUCAACAUGGUGGUGGAUGCGCUUGCCGCCAUCCUGGACAAGGCUAAGGCUGCGGGACAUAUUCGCGGCAUCACUCCCCACCUGGCCGGCGACACCGUGAUCUUCCUUCUCCAGUACGCCGACGACACCAUCAUCAUGGUC
rnacentral:rRNA from 1 species